GUAUCGCCAGCUCAAAUUUCCACAGAGCAGCCACGAUGAACAGCCACGCUGCUAUUGGUCAGGACACUGCACUGCUACUCAGAUGCUGCAGCAAUACCUCAGUUUCGGUAGUAUGGGGAGGGCUACCUGCGUCUUUCCCUCGAUUUACCUGCAAAAACGUCAACUUUUACGUCUAUAUUCACUGCAUUUGUGUUGCUCUUACCUCUGGGGACAAGGGAAAGCACAGUUCAGAUCAUAUUUGAGGGGAUUUAAGCUCUGAGGACCAGUGCAUUUGCCAAAAAGGAGAAACUGAUCACACAGCAGGAGCUGGAGAUGUCUAUGCAUCACAUUCUGGAAUUCUUGGAAGUGCCAGCUUUACUUCUCAACGAGAACAUGAAUGCUUAGCCCUAUGUAACCCAAGCUCCGGGGGGCUCCCUACAUAGUCCGCCACCUUUUCAGGGGCCGGCUGGAUGUUGGGCGGCCGGCAAAAGCGAUUUAAUCAGGCUAAUGAAUGCUGAACCCUGACUUAUGUUAUAGUAAUUCUGAAAGGUUGUUUCUCCAAACGGUAGAAUAACUAGAACUUAGUAGAAGUAAAUUUUUAUGAUGAA